GACGAACGCUGGCGGCGUGCCUAAUACAUGCAAGUCGAGCGCAGGAAAUCGACGGAACCCUUCGGGGGGAAGUCGACGGAAUGAGCGGCGGACGGGUGAGUAACACGUAAAGAACCUGCCCUCAGGUCUGGGAUAACCACGAGAAAUCGGGGCUAAUACCGGAUGGGUCAUCGGACCGCAUGGUCCGAGGAUGAAAGGCGCUUCGGCGUCGCCUGGGGAUGGCUUUGCGGUGCAUUAGCUAGUUGGUGGGGUCAUGGCCCACCAAGGCGACGAUGCAUAGCCGACCUGCGAGGGUGAUCGGCCACACUGGGACUGAGACACGGCCCAGACUCCUACGGGAGGCAGCAGUAGGGAAUCUUCCACAAUGGACGAAAGUCUGAUGGAGCAACGCCGCGUGAACGAUGAAGGCCUUCGGGUCGUAAAGUUCUGUUGUAAGGGAAGAACAAGUGCCGCAGGCAAUGGCGGCACCUUGACGGUACCUUGCGAGAAAGCCACGGCUAACUACGUGCCAGCAGCCGCAGUAACAC
rnacentral:rRNA from 1 species